AACGUUUCGCAAGCGGUUUUAUCAACAAUAUUUUCAAUGCCUAUUAAUGUUUUCGUUUCAAUGGAUAUUUAAAAGUAAUAUGCUAGUUAGCCUAUGUUCAAAAAAUGUGUUUUUUCACAAAGCACGACCUGAAAUGAACGUCAUGUUGAAUUCUCAAGCAUUUCUGUUUGGACUAACAUUUUUAUCUACAGAGUACCUACCAAAUAAAAAUUACGUACAAAACUCGCCAAAUUAAAUUGUCUAUAAAUGGCUCAACAAUUUUACUAUGUCAAGAAAAGAUAAAUAAAAGUUUUCUAUUCAAAUAUAUAGUCUCU